AUUGAACGCUGGCGGCAGGCCUAACACAUGCAAGUCGAGCGAGUGGCGGACGGGUGAGUAAUGUAUGGGGAUCUGCCCGAUAGAGGGGGAUAACUACUGGAAACGGUGGCUAAUACCGCAUACCAUCGGAUGAACCCAUAUGGGAUUAGCUAGUAGGUGGGGUAAAGGCUCACCUAGGCGACGAGCCCUAGCUGGUCUGAGAGGAUGAGCAGGCACACUGGGACUGGGAAACGGCCCAGACUCCUACGGGAGGCAGGAGUGGGGAAUAUUGCACCAUGGGCUCAAGCCUGAUUCAGCCCUGCCGGGUGUAUUGAGAAGGCCUUAGGGUUGGAAAGUACUUUCAGCGGGGAGGCGUUACCCGCAGAAGAAGCCCCGGCUUACUCCGGUCCAGCAGCCGCGGUAAUAC
rnacentral:rRNA from 1 species